CGCACGGGCACAGUCAGUCACCAGGAGUAAAAACAAAGACAGACGUACAGACAAGGAGCGGGCAAAACAGGUAAAUACAACGGCAAAACAGGAGCUUACUUGACAAAACGUUGGAUGACUGUAAUUUCACAAAACAGUCUGACAGAGAAAUGAGGUGAAUACUGGAGGCUAAAUAGAGUGACUAACGAUUAACACAAAACAGCUGAUGGAUCACUAGUGACAGCUUAACACAGCUGGUGAAACAUAUGACUGAGUGGUAGAACUGAACCUAGAACAGACAGGAAACCAAACAAGAAGUGUCAGAAUAAAACCGGAAAAUAAAGCAGAAAAUAACAGUGACCACCAGAUGCUGACCCAUGACACCAGGGAACUUUCAGGUUUAAAGGUCCAUGCACAUGCAAAAUUCACUUUUUGGACAUUCUGGUACGUUUAUUUGACUCCCUGGGUCAUGUUAAGACACUCCUGGUGUGUUAGAAGUACGCCCCCUACUUAUUUCACAUUUUUGAGAGUUUAUCCAAUCUGGUUCAAGAACCAUCGUUUCAAAUUUGGCGGCCUGGAUACGUCUGCAUUCGCGCUGACCAAUCACAGAACCAGCUUCGCCCCCCCCCAAACAAACCUGGACCCCUAAAUGUACCUGAAACAUUUCGUUUCAGUCACUCCAGUCACAGACAAAAGAAGAAGAAGUCACUCACUGCGUAGUCUACCAUAGGAGGUGGCGCUAAUGCACCUUUCAGUUGGUUGCCACCCGCCAUUUAAAAGACAAAAGAAGAAGAAGUCACUCAGGUUGAAGAAGCGUCCACUUGCUGCUUCCCCAAACGUAAGUACAUGCUUGAUACUUAUUUGAUGUAUGUACUCCAGAAGUUUCUCUGUUUAUAAUGUAGCUUCCCUCCUGUGUAAGGAAUGCUAAUUGCUAGAACCGUUGAAUCUAACAGCUACAGCGACAGAGAGAGACAGUGUUGCAAGGUGCUGACACGUAAUUUGGAUGAGUCCAAGCCUCUCCAGCAUUUGUCCGGUUCGAAUCGUGUGAUAUAUGGUACUGAGGUCAUUCACUCAGCUCACAUUAUAGCUGCUAGCGCGAUAGUUUCUAAUGUUUAUAAUUACUACCGAGCCUGUCGUGUGUAUGUUGUAGCCCAAGUAGACCCGGGAAUUUGGGUUAUGGCAGGUUCUAUCUAACAUGUGUGUUGUUGCUUAUCUAGUCAGCUACAGUACUUUAGCUGUAAGCGUGACAUGUUUUUUAUACAGUCUGACGCAUGCCAGCUACCGAAACGCGAGGAGGUUGCUUCUCAAACUGACACGCGGCUACCUUGUAGAAGAGUAGAAGAGUGCUCACCUCAGGAGCAAAGAUUAUGUGAAAAAUGUAAUGGAGACCAUCUUCAAUAAAGUCCUGCUGGACUCAGGUGGUUCUAUGGAGGACCUUGUGAACAUUCCUGUCCCACCGGCCCUCUGAGCAGAAUUUGAGCAACCUGAUAGAAAGGAGAGUGGUGUCAAGGAAAACAGCUGCAUCCUCCAUCUGUACAGCAGCUGCACUGCUUCCGAUGUCUUCUAACACGUGAAGACAAAAAAGAUCCUCACAUUUCCCCAGCCAACUGCUCAUGACUGUACCUGUUCCACUCCAGAAACUAUGCUUUCAACAUAACUAUGAAUCCUACCUGUUCAUUUUGUGGUCUGCAAAUUAAACUGUGACGGUAACUUAUCCAGCAUUAUAGUGCUGGUGCAUUGGUUUAAAAUAAAGUUGGCUUUGACUAUUGCUGUAUCACUGAACUAUUUUUGUAUGUAUAUACCUAAUGAGGGAAAACAGACAAAUGUUUUAUAAUAUUUCAGCUUUUAUUGAGGUAUUGCCAAAAAAAACAAUAAUUUAGGUAUUUCACAGGUGGUCUAAGUCCAACAUAGGUGCCUUGUCCCUCAGGAAACACUGCCCUGAUCCAGACCAGGAAAGGUGGGAUGACUUGGACUCUUCUCUAGAAGUCCCCAGCACCAGCUGACAAGACUUCUAGGCUAGAUACCUGCAACAACUUGAGAUACACACAGACAUAGUACUGAAAAAAACAAUAAUUUCUAUUAGUUAUAUAUUAGCACUUGAUAUAUCAUACACCUUACUAAAAGCAAUUAAAAAAUAUUAGGUCAAUAUAUAUUUAGAAACAAAACUAUGUUUGUGAACCAGAGUUCCCAGGUACAUUAUGAUUAAUCUGUAAAUAGUAAAAUGUUCUAAAUUUUUUUAUGAAUUUCUGAGAUACUGAUUUAUUCCAUGCAUGUGUAAUUGUCUGAUAUACUGUAUAUUAAAUGUGUUCUGUAAUGAAUACACAUUCAAUCAUACUGGCUCCAGUCCUCGAUCAUGAACCAUACAUGACAGUAGGUUUGGCAACUAGUUCAGGCAUC